rnacentral:rRNA from 1 species
GACGAACGCUGGCGGCGCGCCUAACACAUGCAAGUCGAACGGAGCUGAGAGAAGCUUGCUUUUCUUAGCUUAGUGGCGAACGGGUGAGUAACGCGUGAGUAACCUGCCCUGGAGUGGGGGACAACAGUUGGAAACGACUGCUAAUACCGCAUAAGCCCACGAUCCGGCAUCGGAUUGAGGGAAAAGGAUUUAUUCGCUUCAGGAUGGACUCGCGUCCAAUUAGCUAGUUGGUGAGGUAACGGCCCACCAAGGCGACGAUUGGUAGCCGGACUGAGAGGUUGAACGGCCACAUUGGGACUGAGACACGGCCCAGACUCCUACGGGAGGCAGCAGUGGGGGAUAUUGCACAAUGGGGGAAGCCCUGAUGCAGCGACGCCGCGUGGAGGAAGAAGGUUUUCGGAUUGUAAACUCCUGUCGUUAGGGACGAUAAUGACGGUACCUAACAAGAAAGCACCGGCUAACUACGUG